rnacentral:rRNA from 1 species
CAAUAGCGUAUAUUAAAGCUGUUGCGGUUAAAAAGCUCGUAGUUGGAUUUCUGUCAAGGACAACUGGUCCGCCCUCCGGGUGAGCACAUAGUUUGGUCUUGACAUCUUGCUGGAAGCUGUUGCUGCACUUGGCUGUGUGGCGCAGUGUUCAGCACUUUCACUUUGAGGAAAUUGGAGUGUUUCAAGCAGGCACAUGCCUUUGGACACAGUAGCAUGGAAUAAUUAGAUUGGGCUUUUGCUCCAAUUUGUCGGUUUCUGGAGCUGAGGUGGGUAUUAAUGGGGAUUGUUGGGGGCAUCCGAAUUUAGCCGUCAGAGGUGAAAUUCUUGGAUCUGCUAAAGACGGACAACUGCGAAAGCGUUUGCCCAGGAUGUUUUCAUUGA